rnacentral:rRNA from 1 species
UACGAAGGGGGCUAGCGUUGUUCGGAAUUACUGGGCGUAAAGCGUGCGCAGGCGGUUCGUCGUGUCUGAUGUGAAAGCCCCGGGCUCAACCUGGGAAUGGCAUUGGAAACUGGCGGACUAGAGUGUGGCAGAGGGGGGUGGAAUUCCGCGUGUAGCAGUGAAAUGCGUAGAGAUGCGGAGGAACACCGAUGGCGAAGGCAGCCCCCUGGGCUAACACUGACGCUCAGGCACGAAAGCGUGGGGAGCAAACAGG